UUUUUUCUUUGUUUUUUUUUUGAUUUUUU
rnacentral:sRNA from 1 species